GAACCCUCAGUUGGUUAGAGCUUGGUGACAAUAACGCCAAGGUUGCAGGUUCGAUCCCUGUAUGGUACA